GAUGAACGCUGGCGGCGUGCCUAAUACAUGCAAGUCGAGCGAACAGACGAGGAGCUUGCUCCUCUGACGUUAGCGGCGGACGGGUGAGUAACACGUGGAUAACCUACCUAUAAGACUGGGAUAACUUCGGGAAACCGGGGCUAAUACCGGAUAAUAUAUUGAACCGCAUGGUUCAAUAGUGAAAGACGGUUUUGCUGUCACUUAUAGAUGGAUCCGCGCCGCAUUAGCUAGUUGGUAAGGUAACGGCUUACCAAGGCAACGAUGCGUAGCCGACCUGAGAGGGUGAUCGGCCACACUGGAACUGAGACACGGUCCAGACUCCUACGGGAGGCAGCAGUAGGGAAUCUUCCGCAAUGGGCGAAAGCCUGACGGAGCAACGCCGCGUGAGUGAUGAAGGUCUUCGGAUCGUAAAACUCUGUUAUUAGGGAAGAACAAAUGUGUAAGUAACUAUGCACGUCUUGACGGUACCUAAUCAGAAAGCCACGGCUAACUACGUG
rnacentral:rRNA from 1 species